rnacentral:rRNA from 1 species
ACCGCGUGGGGGAUGAAUGCCUUCGGGUUGUAAACCCCUUUUCUGGGGGAAGAAUAAGGUUGGGAGGAAAUGCCCAAUCGAUGACGGUACUCCAGGAAUAAGCAUCGGCAAACUUCGUGCCAGCAGCCGCGGUAAGACGAAGGAUGCAAGCGUUAUCCGGAAUUACUGGGCGUAAAGGGCGUCUAGGCGGUUGGAUAAGUCAUUUGUGAAAUCCCGGGGCUUAACCCUGGAAGGUCUUGUGAUACUGUCCGGCUUGGGUGUAGGAGAGGAGAGCGGAACUCACAGAGUAGCGGUGGAAUGCGUAGAUACUGUGAGGUACCCCGAUGGCGAAGGCAGCUCUCUGGCCUACUACCGACGCUGAAGCGCGAAAGCGUGGGGAGCAAAGGGGAUUAGAUACCCCCGUAGUCCACGCCCCAAACGAUGUUCACUUGGUGUCGGGAGCCUAUAUAUCUCGGUGCCGGAGCUAACGCGUUAAGUGAACCGCCUGAGGAGUACGGCCGCAAGGCUAGAACUCAAGAGAAUU